UGGGGAAUAUUGCACAAUGGGCGAAAGCCUGAUGCAGCAACGCCGCGUGAGUGAUGAAGGUCUUCGGAUUGUAAAGCUCUGUCUUUUGGGACGAUAAUGACGGUACCAAAGGAGGAAGCCACGGCUAACUACGUGCCAGCAGCCGCGGUAAUACGUAGGUGGCGAGCGUUGUCCGGAUUUACUGGGCGUAAAGGGUGCGUAGGCGGAUGUUUAAGUGAGAUGUGAAAUACCCGGGCUUAACUUGGGUGCUGCAUUUCAAACUGAAUAUCUAGAGUGCAGGAGAGGAGAAUGGAAUUCCUAGUGUAGCGGUGAAAUGCGUAGAGAUUAGGAAGAACACCAGUGGCGAAGGCGAUUCUCUGGACUGUAACUGACGCUGAGGCACGAAAGCGUGGGUAGCAAACAGGAUUAGAUACCCUGGUAGUCCACGCCGUAAACGAUGAGUACUAGGUGUAGGAGGUAUCGACCCCUUCUGUGCCGCAGUAAACACAUUAAGUACUCCGCCUGGGAAGUACGAUCGCAAGAUU
rnacentral:rRNA from 1 species